ACCUAAACUAACAUCUGAAG
rnacentral:misc_RNA from 1 species